rnacentral:rRNA from 1 species
GGCGUGCCUAAUACAUGCAAGUCGAGCGAGCUUGCCUAGAUGAUUUUAGUGCUUGCACUAAAUGAAACUAGAUACAAGCGAGCGGCGGACGGGUGAGUAACACGUGGGUAACCUGCCCAAGAGACUGGGAUAACACCUGGAAACAGAUGCUAAUACCGGAUAACAACACUAGACGCAUGUCUAGAGUUUGAAAGAUGGUUCUGCUAUCACUCUUGGAUGGACCUGCGGUGCAUUAGCUAGUUGGUAAGGUAACGGCUUACCAAGGCAAUGAUGCAUAGCCGAGUUGAGAGACUGAUCGGCCACAUUGGGACUGAGACACGGUCCAUACUCCUACGGGAGGCAGCAGUAGGGAAUCUUCCACAAUGGGCGCAAGCCUGAUGGAGCAACACCGCGUGAGUGAAGAAGGGUUUCGGCUCGUAAAGCUCUGUUGUUGGAGAAGAACGUGCGUGAGAGUAACUGUUCGCGCAGUGACGGUAUCCAACCAGAAAGUCACGGCUAACUACGUGCCAGCAGCCGCGGUAAUACGUAGGUGGCAAGCGUUAUCCGGAUUUAUUGGGCGUAAAGCGAGCGCAGGCGGUUGCUUAGGUCUGAUGUGAAAGCCUUCGGCUUAACCGAAGAAGUGCAUCGGAAACCGGGCAACUUGAGUGCAGAAGAGGACAGUGGAACUCCAUGUGUAGCGGUGGAAUGCGUAGAUAUAUGGAAGAACACCAGUGGCGAAGGCGGCUGUCUGGUCUGCAACUGACGCUGAGGCUCGAAAGCAUGGGUAGCGAA